GAUGCUGUGGUGUAGUGGUUAUCACGUUAGCCUUACACACUAAAGGUCUCCAAUUCGAUCCUGGGCAGUAUCA
rnacentral:tRNA from 1 species